GGGGAAUUUUCCGCAAUGGGCGAAAGCCUGACGGAGCAAUACCGCGUGAGGGAGGAAGGCUCUUGGGUUGUAAACCUCUUUUCUCAGGGAAGAAAAAAAUGACGGUACCUGAGGAAUAAGCAUCGGCUAACUCCGUGCCAGCAGCCGCGGUAAUACGGAGGAUGCAAGCGUUAUCCGGAAUGAUUGGGCGUAAAGCGUCCGCAGGUGGCGAUGAAAGUCUGCUGUUAAAGAGUGAGGCUCAACCUCAUAAAAGCAGUGGAAACUACAUAGCUAGAGUACGUUCGGGGCAGAGGGAAUUCCUGGUGUAGCGGUGAAAUGCGUAGAGAUCAGGAAGAACACCGGUGGCGAAAGCGCUCUGCUAGGCCUGUACUGACACUGAGGGACGAAAGCUAGGGGAGCGAAUGGGAUUAGAUACCCCAGUAGUCCUAGCCGUAAACGAUGGAUACUAGGCGUGGCUUGUAUCGACCCGAGCCGUGCCGGAGCUAACGCGUUAAGUAUCCCGCCUGGGGAGUACGCACGCAAGUGUGAAACUCAAAGGAAUUGACGGGGGCCCGCACAAGCGGUGGAGUAUGUGGUUUAAUUCGAUGCAACGCGAAGAACCUUACCAAGACUUGACAUGUCGCGAAUUCCUCUGAAAGGAGGAAGUGCCUUAGGGAGCGCGAACACAGGUGGUGCGUGGCUGUCGUCAGCUCGUGUCGUGAGAUGUUGGGUUAAGUCCCACAACGAGCGCAACCCUCGUUUUUAGUUGCCAGCAUUAAGUUGGGCACUCUAGAGAGACUGCCGGUGACAAACCGGAGGAAGGUGGGGAUGACGUCAAGUCAGCAUGCCCCUUACGUCUUGGGCUACACACGUACUACAAUGCUACGGACAAAGGGCAGCAAGCUAGUGAUAGCAAGCAAAUCUCAUAAACCGUAGCUCAGUUCAGAUCGCAGGCUGCAACUCGCCUGCGUGAAGUCGGAAUCGCUAGUAAUUGCAGGUCAGCAUACUGCAGUGAAUUCGUUCCCGGGCCUUGUACACACCGCCCGUCACACCAUGGAAGCUGGCAACGCCCGAAGUCAUUACUCCAACCCUUCGGGGAGGAGGAUGCCUAAGGCAGUGCUGGUGACUGGGGUGAAGUCGUAACAAGGUAGCCGUACCGGAAGGUGUGGCUGGAUCACCUCCUU
rnacentral:rRNA from 1 species